GGCCCAAAUUUGAAGUAGAGUAAAUUAGUAGGAUCAGUUGACCAUACUUAGCAACUUUACCUCAAGUUUGUGCCC
rfam:Haemonchus contortus, ISE/inbred ISE, WGS project CAVP01000000 data, contig: Hcontortus_11436